UACGUAGGGGGCGAGCGUUGUCCGGAGUUACUGGGCGUAAAGGGCAUGCAGGCGGUCGGACGCGUUUUGUGUGACAGCGGGUGGCUCAACUACGCGAGCAUACGAAAGACGGUUUGACUUGAGGGCUCGAGAGGGACACGGAAUUCCGGGUGGAGUGGUGAAAUGCGUAGAGAUCCGGAGGAACACCAGUGGCGAAGGCGGCUAGCUGGCCUGUAACUGACGCUGAGGCGCGAAGGCUAGGGGAGCGAACAGG
rnacentral:rRNA from 1 species